rnacentral:rRNA from 1 species
UGAGGAAUAUUGGACAAUGGUGGGAACACUGAUCCAGCCAUGCCGCGUGCAGGAAGACUGCCCUAUGGGUUGUAAACUGCUUUUAUAUAGGAAGAAAAAGAGAUACGUGUAUCUUACUGACGGUACUAUAUGAAUAAGGAUCGGCUAACUCCGUGCCAGCAGCCGCGGUAAUACGGAGGAUCCAAGCGUUAUCCGGAAUCAUUGGGUUUAAAGGGUCCGCAGGCUGUUAGAUAAGUCAGAGGUGAAAGUUUGCAGCUCAACUGUAAAAUUGCCUUUGAUACUGUUUAACUUGAGUUAUUAUGAAGUGGUUAGAAUAUGUAGUGUAGCGGUGAAAUGCAUAGAUAUUACAUAGAAUACCGAUUGCGAAGGCAGAUCACUAAUAAUAUACUGACGCUGAGGGACGAAAGCGUGGGGAGCGAACAGG